AGUGAACGCUGGCGGUAGGCCUAACACAUGCAAGUCGAACGGCAGCACAGUAAGAGCUUGCUCUUACGGGUGGCGAGUGGCGGACGGGUGAGGAAUACAUCGGAAUCUACUUUUUCGUGGGGGAUAACGUAGGGAAACUUACGCUAAUACCGCAUACGACCUACGUGUGAAAGCAGGGGAUCUUCUGACCUUGCGCGAUUGAAUAAGCCGAUGUCGGAUUAGCUAGUUGGCGGGGUAAAGGCGCACCAAGGCGACGAUCCGUAGCUGGUCUGAGAGGAUGAUCAGCCACACUGGAACAGAGACACGGUCCAGACUCCUACGGGAGGCCGCAGUGGGGAAUAUUGGACAAUGGGCGCAAGCCUGAUACAGCCAUACCGCGUGGGUGAAGAAGGACUUCGGGUUGUAAAGCCCUUUUGUUGGGAAAGAAAAGCAGCAGGUUAAUACCCCGCUGUUCUGACGGUACCCAAAGAAUAAGCACCGGCUAACUUCGUG
rnacentral:rRNA from 1 species